GAUGAAGAACGCAGUGAAAUGCGAUAAGUAGUGUGAAUUGCAGAAUUCCGUGAAUCAUCGAAUCUUUGAACGCACAUUGCGCCUUCUGGUAUUCCGGAAGGCAUGCCUGUUCGAGAGUCAUUAACAACCGUUUCGAUCCCUUUCUUUCAGAAAUUAUAAAGAGGAAAAGGGUUUGGUUAUGGUGGAGGAGGGAAAGGGAGCGUUUAGCCUGUAAAAAAAGAGGCUGUGUUCCGCCUCCCCCCCAAAAUUGUACAGGCGGUCGUGUGCGCCCACGCAUCGAGGUGUUGUAAAAGCUGCCACGGCACUUUUCACCUGUGCAGUGCGAGAUUGGCCAGCCGGUUUAAAAACCCCUCCAAACAAUCAAAGGUUGACCUCGGAUCAGGUAGGGAUACCCGCUGAACUUAAGCAUAUCAAUAAGCGGAGGA
rnacentral:misc_RNA from 1 species